UACGUAGGGCGCAAGCGUUGUCCGGAAUUAUUGGGCGUAAAGAGCUCGUAGGCGGUUUGUCGCGUCUGCUGUGAAAACCUAAGGCUCAACCUUGGGCUUGCAGUGGGUACGGGCAGACUAGAGUGCGGUAGGGGUGACUGGAAUUCCUGGUGUAGCGGUGGAAUGCGGAGAUAUCAGGAGGAACACCGAUGGCGAAGGCAGGUCACUGGGCCGCAACUGACGCUGAGGAGCGAAAGCAUGGGGAGCGAACAGG
rnacentral:rRNA from 1 species